GGGCGCUUAGCUCAGUUGGGAGAGCAUCGCCCUUACAAGGCGAGGGUCACAGGUUCAAGUCCUGUAGCGCCCA
rnacentral:tRNA from 1 species